AAGCAUCCAUAUAUAGUAAGGAGUAAGGACCUUGUGGCAGGGUGUGGUCUGUGGUGCCACUGCAGGGGAGGCGGACACACUUGAGCGGCAUCACGCCUCGUCAGCUUAAAGUGUGGGCUAACUCCUCUCAUGGUUGUUGGAGCGUCAGGCUGUGCGCAAAGAAGCUGCAGCUAAGGGUUCCCCAUAAAGACGACGAAGAAGGUGAAGCUGUGACCUACAUUAUAUGUCCAGUCUCUUCUCCUGGACCCGCUCCCAUCAACCUCUAUGCUAGCAUCAACAAACCAAAAAACUAAAACACAGAAAAAACACACAGAAUCUCUUUUUAUUUGAUAACUUCUUUCUUUCUUUCCAUUCUUGUGUAAUGAAAGAGGGUUUCUGUUUGGCUAAAGUUCCCAGGAUUUAACUACAGUGAUAAUGUAAUCUGUAUUUUAAUUAUUAAUUUCUAACACAGAAUGUUGCACUAUAUUUUUUCAUAGAUUGUUUAUUGCUUUAUGUGUUUGUAUAUCUGCAGAUUAGGCCUGACGAUUUUAUGAUAUUAAAAAGUGUUUUUACAUUAUGUAAAAUCCCAAGCAGCUAAUAAAGGCUCCAGCACAUGAGUUUUAUUGUCA
ensembl:lncRNA